UACGGGAGGCAGCAGUGGGGAAUAUUGCACAAUGGGCGAAAGCCUGAUGCAGCUAUGCCGCGUGUAUGAAGAAGGCCUUAGGGUUGUAAAGUACUUUCAUCGGGGAGGAAAAAACAAAACUAAUAAUUUUAUUUCUUGACGUUACCCGAAAAAGAAGCACCGGCUAACUCCGUGCCAGCAGCCGCGGUAAUACGGAGGGUGCUAGCGUUAAUCAGAAUUACUGGGCGUAAAGAGCACGUAGGUGGUUUUUUUAAGUCAGAUGUGAAAUCCCUGGGCUUAACCUGGAACUGCAUUUUGAAACUGAAAUACUAGAGUAUCGUAGAGGGAGGUAGAAUUCUAGGUGUAGCGGUGAAAUGCGUAGAUAUCUGGAGGAAUACCUGUGGCGAAAGCGGCCUCCUAAACGAAUACUGACACUGAGGUGCGAAAGCGUGGGGAGCAAACGAGGAGUUAGAU
rnacentral:rRNA from 1 species